rnacentral:rRNA from 1 species
AGGGGCAGCGGGGUUGUAGCAAUACAACUGCCGGCGACCGGCGCACGGGUGAGUAACACGUAUGUAACCUGCCCUCUGCAGGGGGAUAAGCGGAAGAAAUUCCGUCUAAUACCGCAUAAUACAAUUUGGAGACAUCUCCGGGUUGUCAAAGGAGUGAUCCGGCAGAGGAUGGACAUGCGGCGCAUUAGCUAGUCGGCGGGGUAACGGCCCACCGAGGCUACGAUGCGUAGGGGUUCUGAGAGGAAGGUCCCCCACACUGGUACUGAGACACGGACCAGACUCCUACGGGAGGCAGCAGUGAGGAAUAUUGGUCAAUGGGCGGAAGCCUGAACCAGCCAAGUCGCGUGAGGGAAGACGGUCCUAUGGAUUGUAAACCUCUUUUGCAGGGGAGCAAGGCGCGGUACGUGUACCGCGAAGGAGAGUACCCUGAGAAAAAGCAUCGGCUAACUCCGUGCCAGCAGCCGCGGUAAUACGGAGGAUGCGAGCGUUAUCCGGAUUUAUUG